AGCCAUAUAACUUUGAAACACAGGUUCCUGUAUGAUCACCAAAGUUAAGCAAUGUGAAGCCUUAUAAGUACCUAGAUGGGUAACUGCUUGGGAAUCCCAGGUGCUGUAAG